rnacentral:rRNA from 1 species
AUUGAACGCUGGCGGCAGGCCUAACACAUGCAAGUCGAGCGAGCGGCGGACGGGUGAGUAAUGUAUGGGGAUCUGCCUGAUGGCGGGGGAUAACUACUGGAAACGGUAGCUAAUACCGCAUACCCUCAGAUGAACCCAUAGGGGAUUAGCUAGUAGGUGGGGUAACGGCUGACCUAGGCGACGAUGCCUAGCUGGUCUGAGAGGAUGAUCGGCCACACUGGGACUGAGACACGGCCCAGACGCCUACGGGAGGCAGCAGUGGGGAAGAUUGCACAAUGGGCGAAAGCCUGAUGCAGCCAUGCCGCGUGUAUGAAGAAGGCCUUCGGGUUGUAAAGUACUUUCAGUCGGGAGGCGUUACCGACAGAAGAAGCACCGGCUAACUCCGUGCCAGCAGCCGCGGUAAUUC